GACGAACGCUGGCGGCGUGCUUAACACAUGCAAGUCGAACGAAGUGGCGAACGGGUGAGUAACGCGUAAUCAACCUGCCCUUAAGAGGGGGACAACAGUUGGAAACGACUGCUAAUACCUCAUACUGAAGGAGGGGAUUGCGUCUGAUUGGCUAGUUGGAGGGGUAACGGCUCACCAAGGCGAUGAUCAGUAGCCGGUCUGAGAGGAUGAUCGGCCACACUGGAACUGAGACACGGUCCAGACUCCUACGGGAGGCAGCAGUAGGGAAUCUUCCGCAAUGGGCGAAAGCCUGACGGAGCAACGCCGCGUGAGUGAUGAAGGUCUUCGGGUCGUAAAACUCUGUUAUUAGGGAAGCGGUACCUAAUCAGAAAGCCACGGCUAACUCCGUGCCAGCCGCCGCGGUAAUAC
rnacentral:rRNA from 1 species